rnacentral:sRNA from 1 species
AGGCUUGUGCCUCUGCAGAGAAAUCCUGCAAAUCUAUGUGUGAUACACCUCUUCUGAGAUGCAUCAUACACAGAUGAGCAUUUAUCUUCACAGAGGUGACAGCUGAGAAGGACAUAGCCAGUCACAAAAGUCAUCUUCAUUGUUUGAUAAAACAAUUGAACACAUCUCAUCUGAUGAUGCUGUCUGCUCAGAGCAGGGCAGGGGUGAAUGCUCUAUGAUUCCAGCACCAGGCAAUGGCUGAGCCUGCAGAGGUGUAAUAGGCGCAAUGGAGAUAUCUAUAUUAGGAAAUAGCUAUGUGGCGAUAGAAGAACACAGAACACACCAGAAUUAAUGAGGAGGGGCAUAGCACACAGCACUAUAGAC